rnacentral:rRNA from 1 species
UGGGGAAUUUUGCGCAAUGGGGGCAACCCUGACGCAGCAACGCCGCGUGGAGGAUGAAGGCCUUUGGGUCGUAAACUCCUGUCAGAGGGGAAGAAAUACUCGCAAGAGUGCUGACGGUACCCUCAAAGGAAGCACCGGCUAACUCCGUGCCAGCAGCCGCGGUAAUACGGAGGGUGCAAGCGUUGUUCGGAAUUAUUGGGCGUAAAGAGCAUGUAGGCGGACUGAUAAGUCUGGUGUGAAAGCCCGGGGCUCAACCCCGGAAGUGCAUUGGAUACUGUCAGUCUUGAGUAUGGGAGAGGAAAGCGGAAUUCCGAGUGUAGGAGUGAAAUCCGUAGAUAUUCGGAGGAACACCAGUGGCGAAGGCGGCUUUCUGGACCAAUACUGACGCUGAGAUGCGAAAGCGUGGGGAGCAAACAGGAUUAGAUACCCCCGUAGUCC